AGUCAACUGAGGAGUCAGAUGACGAAAUGGCCACAGUUGUGGUGUGGUCAUGUGACCAGGAAGUGGCGGAGGAGGACGGGUCAUGUGACCGGGAAGUGACGGAGGAGGAACUGCAGAAGAGGACGAAGAAGAGGAAGAGCUUCAAGAACAGGAUUGUGAAGUUCUUCAGAAGGCUGAAUUGCUUCCACUGCGGCAAAGACAAUACCAGAGAUGGGGACUUUUGACUUGUGACUUGGACUUGAGUCAGACUUGAGACACAAUUGACUGGACUUGAGACUUGACUUGGCAAUAUUAGGAACCGUUUGGGACUUGACUCGGACUUGUAUGAGAGGGAGGAACAGAGAAGGAAGGAAGGGAUUCCAAAUCAGAGACACCUCAUUUUCGCGUCAUGGAUAUCCAUGAGAAAGACCAGAAAACCCUGUUGAUUGUCCACAAGUCACUUUACUAGCCUACAAAGACGACUUGAAACAAAGGAACUGGACUUUUUUUAAUGAUUUGCCCUUAACUCCUGUUGACUUGGACUCAAACCUCUUUAGACUCGGUCUUGUCUUGGACUUGACUAUUCUGGUCUUGGACUUGACUAGCCUACAGCCCUGUUACUAAAUAUGAAA